rnacentral:misc_RNA from 1 species
GCAAACUUGGUCAUUUAGAGGAAGUAAAAGUCGUAACAAGGUCUCCGUUGGUGAACCAGCGGAGGGAUCAUUACCGAGUUUUCAACUCCCAAACCCCAAUGUGAACAUACCUAUUCUGUUGCUUCGGCGGGGUCGCCCCGGGCGCGCGGCCGCAAGGCCAGCCCCGGACCCAACGUGCACCCGCCGGAGGAUACCAAACUCUUCUGUUUCUCACAGCGGUUACAUUCUGAGUGGCUCCAUCGCGAGCAAAACAAAAAAUGAAUCAAAACUUUCAACAACGGAUCUCUUGGUUCUGGCAUCGAUGAAGAACGCAGC